CGGUGAACGAGCUUCCCAUCCAGGUAGGCAGCAGGCGCGUAAAUUACCCAAUCCUGACACAGGGAGGUAGUGACAAUAAAUAACAAUGCCGGGCUUUCUAAGUCUGGCAAUUGGAAUGAGAGCAAUUUAAAUCCAUCAUCGAGGAUCAAUUGGAGGGCAAGUCUGGUGCCAGCAGCCGCGGUAAUUCCAGCUCCAAUAGCGUAUAUUAAAGUUGCUGCAGUUAAAAAGCUCGUAGUUGAAUUUGUGGCGCGGCCAUCCGGCGGGGGCUCUUCAUUGAGCCCGUUUGUCCUGGUUUUUGGCCGUUCCUUUCUCGGGUAGCGUGUGGCUGGCAUUAGGUUGUUGGCUGCUUCGCGCCCGUCUUUUACUGUGAAAAAAUUAGAGUGUUCAAAGCAGGCUUAGGCCGUUGGAUACAUUAGCAUGGAAUAAUAAGAUAGGGCCACGACGGUCUAUUUUGUUGGUUUGCACGUUGUGGUAAUGGUUAACAGGAAUAGUUGGGGGUAUUCGUAUUCAAUUGUCAGAGGUGAAAUUCUUGGAUUUGUGGAAGACGAACUACUGCGAAAGCAUUUACCAAGGAUGUUUUCAUUAAUCAAGAACGAAAGUUAGGGGAUCGAAGAUGAUUAGAUACCAUCGUAGUCUUAACCAUAAACUAUGCCGACUAGGGAUUGGCGGACGUUUCACUUUUACGACUCCGUCAGCACCUUCCGAGAAAUCAAAAGUCUUUGGGUUCCGGGGGAGUAUGUUCGCAAGGCUGAAACU
rnacentral:rRNA from 1 species